UAGCAAAGCGCACAGCGCGUCAGUGCGAAGCGGGAUUCUGGAGUUGUAGGUUGCACGUUGUUGUGUACCUACGGGGCGACAUGGCUCCGUGAGUAAUCGUAUUCCAGCUAAUAGUUGAACACUGAACAAACUUACUAAGCGUGUGAGCGUGUGCCUGUGAUUUGUGUAUUGUGCUUUAAGUGUCGUGGUGUGUUUAGUUGAAUGUGUGUAAGUGCUAGUGUGAUUUGACGUUUCAUCGCGGUCUUGAUUUUGUCUGGAACCUUCACAUCAUAUCGUCGCUUGGAGUACACAUUUGUUGACAGAUGCACAUCCGCCUUCAUUCGGUUUCCAGCGGCAGCCAUUCACUGUACCGACGGGGCUGGCAAGUGGGAGACACUCCAGGAGCUCUUGGGCUCGUGUCUCGCCUUGACGGAAGUUCUUGUGAGUUCCU